UACGUAGGUCCCGAGCGUUGUCCGGAUUUAUUGGGCGUAAAGCGAGCGCAGGUGGUUUAUUAAGUCUGGUGUAAAAGGCAGUGGCUAACCAUUGUAUGCAUUGGAAACUGGUAGACUUGAGUGCAGGAGAGGAGAGUGGAAUUCCAUGUGUAGCGGUGAAAUGCGUAGAUAUAUGGAGGAACACCGGUGGCGAAAGCGGCUCUCUGGCCUGUAACUGACACUGAGGCUCGAAAGCGUGGGGAGCAAACAGG
rnacentral:rRNA from 1 species